AUUCAGCUGACGAGUCUCAAAUAGGACGAAACACGCGUCUAGCUAGAU
rnacentral:hammerhead_ribozyme from 1 species